UACGUAGGGUGCGAGCGUUGUCCGGAAUUACUGGGCGUAAAGAGCUCGUAGGUGGUUUGUCGCGUUGUUCGUGAAAUGCCACAGCUUAACUGUGGGCGUGCGGGCGAUACGGGCAGACUGGAGUACUGCAGGGGAGACUGGAAUUCCUGGUGUAGCGGUGGAAUGCGCAGAUAUCAGGAGGAAUACCCAUAGCGAAGGCAGCUCGCUGGGACGUUACUGACGCUGAGGCGCGAAAGCGUGGGGAGCGAACAGG
rnacentral:rRNA from 1 species